AAAUUGAAGAGUUUGAUCAUGGCUCAGAUUGAACGCUGGCGGCAGGCCUAACACAUGCAAGUCGAGCGGUAACACAGAGAGCUUGCUCUCGGGUGACGAGCGGCGGACGGGUGAGUAAUGUCUGGGAAACUGCCUGAUGGAGGGGGAUAACUACUGGAAACGGUAGCUAAUACCGCAUAACGUCGCAAGACCAAAGUGGGGGACCUUCGGGCCUCAUGCCAUCAGAUGUGCCCAGAUGGGAUUAGCUAGUAGGUGGGGUAAUGGCUCACCUAGGCGACGAUCCCUAGCUGGUCUGAGAGGAUGACCAGCCACACUGGAACUGAGACACGGUCCAGACUCCUACGGGAGGCAGCAGUGGGGAAUAUUGCACAAUGGGCGCAAGCCUGAUGCAGCCAUGCCGCGUGUAUGAAGAAGGCCUUCGGGUUGUAAAGUACUUUCAGCGAGGAGGAAGGCGUUAAGGUUAAUAACCUUGGCGAUUGACGUUACUCGCAGAAGAAGCACCGGCUAACUCCGUGCCAGCAGCCGCGGUAAUACGGAGGGUGCAAGCGUUAAUCGGAAUUACUGGGCGUAAAGCGCACGCAGGCGGUCUGUCAAGUCGGAUGUGAAAUCCCCGGGCUCAACCUGGGAACUGCAUUCGAAACUGGCAGGCUAGAGUCUUGUAGAGGGGGGUAGAAUUCCAGGUGUAGCGGUGAAAUGCGUAGAGAUCUGGAGGAAUACCGGUGGCGAAGGCGGCCCCCUGGACAAAGACUGACGCUCAGGUGCGAAAGCGUGGGGAGCAAACAGGAUUAGAUACCCUGGUAGUCCACGCCGUAAACGAUGUCGACUUGGAGGUUGUGCCCUUGAGGCGUGGCUUCCGGAGCUAACGCGUUAAGUCGACCGCCUGGGGAGUACGGCCGCAAGGUUAAAACUCAAAUGAAUUGACGGGGGCCCGCACAAGCGGUGGAGCAUGUGGUUUAAUUCGAUGCAACGCGAAGAACCUUACCUACUCUUGACAUCCAGAGAACUUAGCAGAGAUGCUUUGGUGCCUUCGGGAACUCUGAGACAGGUGCUGCAUGGCUGUCGUCAGCUCGUGUUGUGAAAUGUUGGGUUAAGUCCCGCAACGAGCGCAAC
rnacentral:rRNA from 1 species